rnacentral:lncRNA from 1 species
UGACAAUCAUCCUUCUGUGCUCCCCAUAUGGCCCUCUCUAUCUCAGUUCUAUGAAUUAGAUUUUUCCUGUAGAGUAAUUCAAGCAAACUGUUAAUUUCGUCCAUUUCUUAAUCUUAUUUGCUAGCUGGAGAUGCUGGAAAUGGAUCAAAGGCUUCACCAUGAACUAAUUAUCGUACUUUCACAUAAGAUAUUCUCUUCUUUGUUUUUAUAAUGGUGGUGUAUGGGCCAGAUUACGCGCAACUCGACUAUUCCAGUGUUACCUGCUACCUCCCCCAGCACAAGCACCAGUUAAUUCUGCCCACCAAAGGUUUAGGCAUAAGCUAAUAGUAGCUUAUGCUUUCAUAUUCUUUUGUUUUCCUAAUAUUGAAAAACAUGAAGAAAUUGCUUACUCUAAUCUGUUAAAGCCAAAAAAUGCUAGUUCAAAUAGAACCUAUAAAGUGCGGUUGAGACAAAUAGUGUCACCUCAUUUCCAUUGUACAAUUCAACAAAACAACAUAUUGCACGUAUCAGAUCAAUUAAUUCAAUUACAUUAUAAACAACACAAGCUACACAUAAGAUAGCAACAGUCAACUGAUAAUCAGUAGUAGUUUGACUGAGAUUGACUUACACGAAAAUACUCCAUAGUAUUAUGGAAGCAAAGAGGAAUCCAAAUAGAAACUUCGCCGGUGAAGCAUCCAUUUCGCCGCGGCCGGCGGCAAUCCCAAUCGCGUGGAUCUUCUUGAAUUCCGCGUCUCACUGUUCUAUCAUUGCUUAAAUAAUUGAAUUACUGCACUAAAAAAUAGUUAAUUACAGUUUCACAUGAUGUUCAUGGUGUGGAAGUGAAGAUCAAAUGGUGAAUUUUGAAAGAGAAGAAGAUUUGAAUUUGCAGAGGAAAAAGGAAAUGGAGAAGAAGGAGGUGAAAAUGGUCAAUAAGUUGAAACGAAGUGAAUGGGUUUGAUCAAGGGAAUAAUAAGAUAUUUGAGUUAAAGGAAUUAAGAGGAGAAAUCGGGAGAAGGUGGUGUAUCACUCUUUCUGUGUUUUACUCCGAGAAGCGGAGAAGACUAUUGAGUUGGAUCUGGUGCGGUCGGACGUACGGGGAACCUUUGUGAUUUUGUUU